GUUAGACAGUGAGAGAGAGACAGAGAGAGAAAGGUUUUCCUUCCAUUGGUUCACCCCCCAAAUGGCUUCUACGGCCAGCGUGCUGCGCUGAUCCGAAGCCAGGAGCCAGGUGCUUCCUCCUGGUCUCCUAUGCGGGUGCAGGGCCCAAGCACUUGGGCCAUCCUCCACUGCCUUCCUGGGCCACAGCAGAGAGCUGGACUGGAAGAGGAGCAACAGGGACAGAAUCCGGCGCCCCGAAUGGUACUAGAACCCGUGGUGCUGGCGCCUCAGGUAGAGGAUUAGCCUAGUGAGCCACAGGGCCGACAUGUGAGUUCAUUUUUAACUACAGUUGAAUUUUGGCUUUUCAGAUGGACUUCUUAGAUUUACUGAGGAGUUUCUAAAGAAUAUUAUAAAAAUUUUCAUAUGUACAUGAAAGUAGAAAUACUAUUAUGAACCAAUAAACUUCCCCAUUAUCUAUACUCAGUAGUUGAUUAUAAUUGGCCAUAUUUGUUUUGUCUAUCUCUUCUCUAAAUUACUUUAAGAAUAAAUAAAAAUCUCAGAUAUGUCAUUUCAUCCCUGCCUGCUUUAAGCUUGUUUAAAAUGCUAUACACUUUAUAUGAUGAUAAUGUCAUUUGCUGAGGAUGUUUUUUAUUUAAAAAAUUUAGAGAGGCAUCAAUCCAGGUUUUGCUGUUAGGAAUAAAUAAAAUUUUUAGAGUGCUUAGAAAUGUGUCACUUCUUUGAUAAAACUCAUUGUGUGUUAUGAUCCUGUCCUGGUUAAUGACUACAGUAGAUAGCUAAGACAUUAUUCCUAGAAGCAGCUCUUGGAAAGCCCAGGCAUACAAUCUUUUUUUUUUUUUUUUUUUUUUUGACAGGCAGAGUGGACAGAGAGAGAGAGAGAAAGGUCUUCCUUUUGCCGUUGGGUCACCCUCCAAUGGCUGCCGCGGCCAGCACGCUGCGGCCGGCGCAUUGCACUGAUCCGAAGCCAGGAGCCAGGUGCUUCUCCUGGUCUCCCAUGCGGGUGCAGGGCCCAAGCACCUGGGCCAUCCUCCACUGCACUCCUGGGCCACAGCAGAGAGCUGGCCUGGAAGAGGAGUAACUGGGACAGAAUCCGGCGCCCCGACUGGGACUAGAACCCGGUGUGCCAGCGCCAAAAGGCAGAGGAUUAGCCUAUUGAGCCACGGCGCCGGCUCCAGGCAUACAGUCUUUCACUUUACCUCUGCUGCUGGCUUGCUCUUUACUUGUACCAAGUUCAGUACCUUUUUGUUUUGUUUUGUUUUGUUUUAAAGAUUCAUUUAUUCACUUUAAAAGCAGAGUUAGAGAUUUUGCAUCUGCUGGGUCACUUCCACUAAUGGCUACAUUAGCCAGCCCAAAGCCGGGAGCCAAGAACUUCAUCCUGGUGUUCAUGUGGGUGGCAGGAGCCCAAGCACUUGGGCCAUUUUCUGCUGCUGUCUCAGGCACAUUAGCAGGGAGCUGGAUCAGAAGUGGAGCAGCUGGGACUUGAACUGGUGCUCACAUGGGAUGCUGGCAUUGCAGGUGGCAGCUUAACCCACAGUCACAAUGCUGGCCUCAAGUUCAGUACCCUUAAUUGGCACAUCCCCAUCUAAAUUUGCAGCAGAAUGAAGAACACAGAAUUUUAUAAUUAAGUAGUAUUUUUAAGUGGAUCUACUGUGUUGGACAUUGUUAGGUAAAAAUGGAAAUAUAGGAAACCUUCAGGGUAGAUAGGAAAGCACAAAUUAAAUAAUUUGCUAUUAAACAGUAUGGAAGGGUGCUUAGUAAUUUUUGGUGGCUUUUGCAUUAUGGUUUUUCAAUUAAAUACUAAAUCAUGCUGAUCAGGAAACACAGGUAUGUAGUAUGUGUUAAUAUAAAAAUGUAAAUUAGGUGUUGGAAAGGAAUGAGGCUAAAGUUGGGAGAGAACAGAUGAUACAAGAAUUUGUAUAAUGAAUAAAAAGUAUGUGUUUUUUAAAAGAUUUCUUUAUUUAUUUUAAAGUCAGAGUUACAGAGAGGGAGGGAGAGACAGAGAUCUUGUAUCCCUUGGUUCAUUCCCCAGAUGGCGACAAUGACUGUGGCUGGGCCAUGCCAAAGCCAGGAGCCAGAACCUUCAUCCAGGUCCCAUACAUGGGUGGCAGGGGUCCAAGUACAUGGGCCGUUUUUCACUGCUUUCUCCAGGCGGUUAGCAGCCAGCUGGAUUGGAAGUGGAGCAGUUGGGACUUGAAUCAGGGUCCAUAUGGAUGCCAGCGACACAAGCGGUGGCUUUGCCCGCUAAGCCACAAUUGCUGACCCCUGUUGUGUGUAUUUUAAACAGUGGAGUGAUAAGAUCAAAUUUGUGUUUUGAGGAUAACUUGUAAGAUCAGUUUUGGAGAGAGGGAGGGCAAGGGAAGGUAUGUGGUAGUGCAGGAGAGAACAGUAGUCGAUACCACAGGGAAUAAUAGGUAGUGGUGGUUAGAUGUUGGGUGGAGAUGGAUGUCUAUAGAAGUGGUUGAAUUUGACAGAUACUCAGGAGGUGAAAAUCCACCAGGUUGGUGAGAGCUAGAGAUUAAACAGGUAUGGCUACUGAGAAGCAGUGAUAAUACUGGCUUGACUGGUCUGUCAUAGUUUUUUUUUUUUUCUUAACUCUUUGAUAGACUAAACUUUUUAAUUAAGCUCACUAGCAGUCAACAAAUGGAAUUUUUGUCAUAAACAAGCUUUUUCAAAUGGGUUUUCAAAUCCUCUUGCCCCUUUUAAAUGUAUGUAUUUAAGAGACAGAGAAACAGUGACACAGAGGUCUCCCAUCUAUUGUUUUCUCUCCAAAUGCCAGCAAUUACUGGGACUGGGUUUUGCAGAAGCCAGGAGCUGGGAACUCAUUCCAGAUCUUCCAUGUGAGUGGCAGAGACCCAACCACUUGAGUCAUCACCUGCAAUCUCCCAGGCUCAGCAUUGGCAGGAUGCUGGAACUGGACACUGAAGCUAGAACUUGAACCCUGGCACUCCAGUAUGGGACCAAAGCAUCUUAACUACUAGACCAAACAUCUGCCCCCUAGUUCUCCUGUUGAAACAGAUAUUCAGAUAUUUUGAACAGUUUUUAAUGACUUAUAUCAGGAGUCAGCAAACUUCUAGGAAAGGGACAGAUAGUAAAUAUUUUAGGCUUUGCAGACCUUUUAAUUUCUUUGCCUCUUUGUAAUGUGAAGUGAGCCAUAAAUAUAUAAAUGAAUGUAUGUGUUCCAAUAAAACUGUACUAGUGGGCACUGUAGUUUUAAUGUGUCAGUUUUUUUUAAAGAUGUAUUUAUUUAUUUGAAAGCCAGAGUUAUAGAAGCAAAAAGAGACAAACAGACGGACACACACACACGCGCGCACACAUCACACAGAGAAAGAUCUUCUGUCCUCUGAUUUACUCCCCAAAUGGCUGCAAUAGCCAGGGUCAGGCCAGGCUGAAGCCAGGAGCCUGGAAUUCCAUCCAAGUUUUCCACAUGGAUGGCAGAGGCCCCAGCACUUAGGCUGCUGUCCACUGCUUUCUCAGGUGAGUUAGCAGGGACGUGGAUUGGAAGUGGAACAUCUAGGACUUGAACUGGUGCUCGUAUUGGAUGCUUGUGUUGCAGGCUGCUUGACACACUGGGCCAUGAUGCUGACUCCGUGAAAUUUUCUUGUGUUUAAAAUAUUUUUUUUUCCAACCAUUUAAAAUGUGGGAAAUGUUCUUGAUUCAAGGACUCUGCAAAAACAGGCUAUGUGGGCAGGUGACCCCUGGGCCCAGACUUUACCAACUCCAGAAUUAGUCCAUCUGUUACGGCUUUAUAAGAAACUUAAGAUCGGGGCCAGCACUGUGGUGGAUUAAAGCCUUGGCCUGAAGCACCGGCAUCCCAUAUGGGCACCGGUUCGAUUCCCUGCUGUUCCUCUUCUGAUCCAGCUCUCUGCUGUGGCCUGGGAAAGCAGUGGAAGGUGGACUAAAUCCUUGGACUCCUGCACCCAUGUGGGAAGACUCAGAGGAAGCUCCUGCUCCUGGCUUCAGACUGAUGCAGCUCCGACUGACGCGGCCAUCUGGGGAGUGAACCAGUGGAUGGAAGACCUCUCUCGCUCCCUCUCCUCUCUGUAACUGUUUCAAAUAAAAUAAAAUAUUUUUAAAAAAGAGAAACUUUUAAGAUAAGUAGGCUGUUUUAAAUAUUAAUUCCUUUCAUUCCCAAGGAGUCAUAAGUCCUUAAGUUUAUAAUGCUAUAUUUGAUUCUUCCACUUGCCAGUUUAGGGGACCCAAGAGACAGGAAUACACGUAGAACUAAGGAACUACUAGCAAACCCAGUAUAGAUACGGGAAUAUUUAAUACAGAGAGAAUUUCCCAAAGAACAGUAUCUUUAAGAAGGUAAUUAACACAUUCUGAAGAGAAGUAGUUAGAGGUCAGCCAUUGGCGGAAAGAAAGUUAGCAUUUGUCAGACAACAAAUGUGCUGAGAAAGUAGAAGGAAGGUAGAGUUGGGUUCCAGUGCAGUCGCAGGUUGCUUGAUCUUGAGGAGUUGGUAUACCUUCUGUUAAACUUGAAAACUCUUGUAGAACCAGCCCUGUAGUUCUAACUCAGUUCUUGACACGAUAAAUCACAGUUUAAAUUAUGUAUGUAUUGUAUUAGGAAAUUGUAGCAGCAUUGUUUCAGUGUAAAUAGUAGUACCUCAGGUUUUAUUUGUGUAAACAAUAUGAUUACUGUCUAGCCAACUGCUGCAGUUAGAACUGAACUUUUAAUUAUGAUACUAAACUGUUAAUGUGGAUUUAGCCUUCAUGGUCACCUGUUCAUUUGUCAUGGUACCUCUAAAAAAUUAAAUUAUUGACAGUAACAGAGAGCACUUUUAACCAAAUACAUAUAAGAUUGUGAGGCAUCAAUGCCAAAAGGGUACUAAAGAAAAAAAUCUUACCUGGGCAAGCAUUUAAGGGUGCUCGCAUACCACGUUGGAGUACUUGAGUUUGAUGAAUGCCUCUGGCUCCUAUUCCAGCUUCUGGGAGGCAGCUGGUGAUGGUUCAAGUAAUUGCCACCUACUUGGGAGACUUGGAUGGAGUUCUUGGCUCCCAGUUUUGAGGAAUGAAGAGGCAGAUGGGAAAACUCAUGUUCUCCCCCAUCCCCGAUAUAUAUAUCUGCCUCUCAAAUAUAUACAUGAAAAAUUUUAAAGCCCUAUCAAAUGCUAGGGACAUUUGCAUUUGAUUAAAUAUCUUAAAAACACUUAUUUGGUAAAGAAUGUAGUGUUUGUGAUAAAUUUAUGUGAAAUACACGAAAUACUGAAUGGAAUUUAUGGUCAGUGGCAAAUCUCUGUCUACAACAUCAAAACCAAGUAACUUUCAGCUGAAAACAAUUCUUUUAAAUUUUAAAACUAUUUAUUUGAGAGGUAGAGUUACAGAGAGAAAGAUCCCAUCCACUGGUUCACUCCCUAAAUGGCCACAAUGGCCAGAGCUAGAUCUCUCCAGAGCCAGGAGCCAGGAGCUUCUUCCUGGUCUCCCAUGUGAUGCAGGGGCCCAAGCACUUGGGCCUUCUUCUUCCACUUUCUCAGGCCAUAGCAGAGAGCUGGAUCAGAAGAGGAACAGAUGGGACAUAAACAGGCGCCCAUAUGGGAUGCCAGCACCUCAGGUGGAAGCAUAGCCCACUACACCACAGCACCAGCCCCAACAUUAGACUUUUAAAAAAAAAUUUUUUUUUAGGAAGAGAAAGAGAGCAAGUAUGUUCCCAUCCCCUGGUUCACUCCCCACAUUCUUGUACUAGCCAGGAGUGGGCCAAGCUGAAACUGGGAGUUAGAAACCCAAUCUGGGUCUCCUAGGUGGGUAGCAGGGACCCAACCACUUGAGCCAUCACUUACUGCCUCCUAGGGACUGCAUUUGCAGGAAGCUGGAAUCCAGAGUGGAGCCAGGACUUGAACUCAGGUCCUCUGAUUUGGGACACAGUCGUCUUAACCUCUAGGCCCAAUGCCACCACUUGGUAAUUUUUUUAAAGAUUGAUUUAUUUAUUUGAAAGGCAGAGUUAGAGGCAGAGAGAGAGAGGUCUUCCAUUGUUGAUUCACUCCCCAGAUGGCUGCAAUAGCUGGGGCGCCAAUCUGAAGCCAGGAGCCGGGAGCUUCUUCCAGGUCUCCCAUGCGGUUGCGGGGGCCCAAGGACUUGGGCCAUCUUCUACUGCUUUUCCAGGCCAUAGCAGAGAGCUGGAUUGGAAGUGGAGCAGCUGGGACAUGAAUCAGUGCCCAUAUGGAAUGGUGGCACUGCGGGUGGCGGCUUUACCUGCUGCACCACAGCACCAGCCCCCACUUAGUAAUACUUUUUGAAAUCGUGGUUAUUAUUUAAAGUUUUAACUUUUAUUACUUUUAUCUUCUCACUUGCUAAAUUAGUAUAAUAAUAUAGGGAGAAAGACUUAUUUACAAGUAGGAUGCCCAGUAUUUUUUCUUUAAUCCUUUUUUAAAAAGUCUGAGAUACUUUUCAUUGGGAAAUCCAACCAUAGAAGUGGGACAAGAUUAUUUUUGUUCUUUCCUGUGUUUUCAUACAUGCCUGUACAAUUCUAACAGCAAUGCUUUUGCCACUUCUUGUUGGUCUUCAAGCCUGCUGAGCUGGGUUUUUUGUUCAUUUGCUUCUUUAAGUAGCUGUUCUUGGAGGGUCCUUUCUUCAUCUCUACAUCAUGAGUGAGUGGAUCAUUAAGAUUUACUUGAGGAGCCAGUGCUGUGGCGUAGUGGGUAAAGCUGCUGGCUGCUCCACUUCCAAUCCAGCUCUCUGCUGUGAACUGGGAAGGCAGUAGAAGAUGGCCCAAGUCCUUGGGCCCCUGCACCUACGUGGGAGACCUGGAAGAAGCUUCUGGCUUUUGGCUUUGGAUCAGCGCAGCUGGCUGUUGCAGCCAAUUGGGGAGUGAACCGUUGGAUGGAAGACCUCUCUCUCCCUACUUCUCCUCUCUUUAACUCUGACUUUCAAAUAAAUUAAAUCUUAAAAAAAAAAAAAGCAAGUCCUCUAAGAAUAACAUAGUUUCUCAUUUCACUCCCUGCUCUUUUGAAGUGCAUAUGCUUAUGGGUUUACUACCAUCCAGGGAGAAUUUAUACUGGGAUUGUUUAUCAGAAGAACGUGCCUCAUUAUGUUGCCUUUCUAGGCCUGGUCCUGUGGUUGAGUGGAGUGUGAAAACAUUUAAAUGCGUAUUUUGUGUGGAACAGCAGUAGAAGGCACCGACUAUUACAUACCAAAUAACUAGUGCAGAUUUAUGUUGAGAAAGUAACAGAGUGGGGUUAGCUGGGUUAAGCCGCCAUCUGCACUGCUGGCAUCCCAUAUGGGCCCUGGUUUGAGUUCUGGUUGCUCCACUUUCGAUCCAGCUUCCUAGUAGUGUGCCUGACAGAGCAGCAGAAGAUGGCCCGAGCGCUUGGGUUCCUGUACCCACAUAGGAGACCCAGAAUAAGCUACUGGCUCCAGGCUUCAGAUCGGUCCAGCUUCAGCUGUUGUGGGGAAUGAACUAGUAGAUGCAAGAUCUCUGUCUCUGUUUCUCUCUCUUUCUAUCUUUUUGUAACUACCUUUCAAAUAAAUAAAUCUUGAAAAAAAGAAAAUAAUAGACCUUGUGGUUUCUGCUCUAUGGUUGCCACCUCACCUUCUCCUACUUGAUAGAAAUUUUUUAUUUGUUUAUUUUGCCUCUGAUUCAGGUUACAUCCUGGUAGUUGGCAGCAUAAUAAAGUCUCCCUAGUGUGUGUGUGUGGGGGGGGCAUGGUGAGCCAUUGCUUUAAAAAUGUCAUUAAAUUGUUCAGAGCUACCUUUUAAAAAAUUACUUAGAAAAAGAGAAAGAUCCAUCUCCCCUGGCUCACUCCCCGGAUGCCCACAACAGCUGGGUGUGGGACAGGACCAGGGCUGAAGCCAAGAGCCAGGAACAUAAUGCAGGUAUCCUACAUGGGUGGUCUCCAGUCAUUGUGCUGUCCCUCUGCCUCCCAGGAUCUGCAUUACUGGGAACUUGGAGUCACGGAGACAGUGUAGUGAACCCCCAGUACUCAGGUGUAGGCUGUGGGCCUCUGACCCAGUAGGCCAGGUGGCUGCUCUCAGAGCUACUUUUUGAUUGCAAAGGGGAGAAUUGUGGAGAGGAAAAAACUCAAAUUUGGUCAAGAAGGAAGACCUAUUUGUUCAUUGAUUCCAUGAAUACUUAAUUGAAUAUCUACUUUGCGUUAGUAUAGUUCUAUGAAAUAGAUAUUUUGAUAUGGAUACAUGAAGAUCUCUUUUUGAAAACCUUCCUUAUGUUGUUGAAUUCAGGAAAAUUUUUUAAAAAGUUUUUAUUUGGAAGUCUUAAAAAUGUUGAAUUGGUAGUUUCAUUAAGAUUAUAACUGUUUCUAUAUAUCUUUAAUAAGUUUUUUUUAAAGAUUUAUUUAUUUAUUUGAAAGGCAGAGUUACAUAGAGAAGGAGAGGCAGAGAGAGAGGAGUUGGCCUUCCAUCUGCUGGUUCAUUCUUUAGUUGGCUGCAGCAGUUGGAGCUGUGCCAAUCUAAAGCCAGGAGCCAGGAGCUUCUUCUGGGUCUCCCACGUGGGUGCAGGGGCCCAAGGACUUGGGCCAUCUUUCACUGCUUUCCUAGGCCAUAGCAGAGAGCUGGAUUGGAAGUGGAGCAGCCGGGACCCAUAUGGGAUGCCGGCACUGCAGGCACCGGCUUUACUUGCUACGCCACAGUGCCCCUGUAAUAAGUUUUAAGUCUAAUGAAUUUGUUGCCUGGUUACUAUACUAAUUUUGCUUUUAACUACUAAUUAACUACUAAUUUUGCUUUUAUUUUCUUUAAAGAGACCAAAGAGUUUCUUUAGUUUCAGUAGUUUUUGAAAAAGGUACACACGGUAAGACUACAAAUAUAGGAAUGAUAUUUAUGUAUAUCCUAUAAUAUGAUAGAAAUUAUUUAUAAGCCUUAUGAGCAAAACCUAGAAUAAAACAACCAAUUGACAACUAAUAAAGUAUGUGGCUUUAUUCCCAAGUUGAACCAGAGCUCAUUAUUAGUCUUUGUCAUAAUAUUUUAUGUAACUGAAGAGAAUUGGAAAUGGGUGUUUAGAAACAAAUUAUUCUUGGGUAUUGAGCUUAAUUGGGAGUUUUAACUGUGGCUGGUACAGAUUUUUCAUAGAGUUUUGCUUUAAGCCAAUGAAUGUAAAUAGUAAUGGCAGUGGUUAGAGUUCAUUGUAAUGAUACUGUGAAGUAGGUAACAUUUUUAUCUCUUCAUCUGACUCAGUAAUCUACACACCAUGGGAAACUCAUGCAUUGCUCUUGUUAGACUUAGCUAGCUCUGCAGGCUAGUGGGUGUUAGGUAGCUUUGUAGUGUCUUGGUGAGAAGCUGUGCCUGAAAGGGGCAUUUCUCUAUCUAGUGUGUGCAUUCCCACAGCAGGUGCUAUUACUUCUCCCCCACACACUCCACUGAGAGAAAAUCCCCAGAGCAGAGGCUAUGGCCCCAUUGAUAAAAAAUAAACAAAUAGACUGACUACCACUGGGUUCCUUGGAUGUGUAGUUAAGUUUCUAAAAUUACCCCUAAGAGCAGAGACCUUGGCAGUGAAGCAUCUUCCUCCUCUUCUGGAAUGAGGUUGUUUUUCACUUCAUUGAAGAAGUAAGAGCUCCUUCACCUCUGUGUCUCUGGUGGUCAUUCUGUGCCCUGCUUCGCUGGCCACUUUGAGGUUUCUCGUGGCAGAGAGUGUUCAGGGUGCAAUAAUAGAUUUUACAAGUCCCGUUUCUGUUAGUGAAACCCAUGGGUCCUUGUUCUGUUAUUGGCUUACUUUCACACUUUUAUUAUAAAUCAAGACCACCUUGUUGGUAAUGCCACGUGGAUUUCAGUUAGUUUUCCGUGGACCUGACUUGUCCCAGACUACUGUACUUGAGUUUCUCUGUGUUUUUGAAUAGUCAUUUGUUACUGCUCCUAUCAUCAGGUAUUCGAUAAGAGCAGUUGUGUCUCCUGUUUGACAUUCUUCUGUAAGAUGGGUACAUUUUUAAUACACUCGUGCAAAUUCAGGAGAGACGUUAUAUUAUUUGUUCAUUUUCCUAGGGAAAUAACCAUGCUGCUCAGGGUGACCUUUAUUUUCUAAUCAAGUUGUAAUUUUCAUUAUCGGGCACACAUAAAUUACAAUGACAGGCACACAUUCUCUGUCAGUUUGGCACACCAUUAAGAUCAUUUGUAGUUACUGUAAUCUGUAGGAUUUGCAAGUUAUGUAUAUUUAAAGUAUCUGGACAACAAACAAGCAAGGGUAUAGGAUGAGAAAUAAAGCUAAUGGGAUGUUUUUGGGAGUGGGAGGUGAGGGAGACAAAGUUGAUUGAUAGGCUAGAAGACAAUAAAAGGAUAUGCGUACUAAGUAAGAAACAAAAGCAAAAAGGUGGUCAUCUUUGCAGUGCUAUUUUUAGGAUUGUGAACAUGCUAAAGGCAUAAAAUGUAUGCACGCUGUUCUUGAAUUUUAUGACUUAAACAGUGGAUGUAAAAUUAUUUCCAAUUGGGCAAGGACGAAUUAUUUGAUCUUCAAUACUUAAUCUCUUCUGGGUUUCUGAAUUGUUUUCCAAAUAUGGGAAGUACAUUUGUUAGAGAUUGUCCAGAGUUUGCUCCUGGUGUAAUUUUUUAUAUGGUUUUGUGGUACAUAGACUUUUUGUGAUGGUUGUAGCUUUUUUGUCUAUAAGGUAUUUUAACCUGCCUGCUCAUGAGAGAGGUCUGGUAAACAGAUGUGUGGGCUGCAGUUCUGGCUGCAUGUCGACUAGUUUCAGGACGGGGCAGGAAUUUUACCACCCCAAGUUUCCUCAUAUAUAAAGGGAGAUUAAAGUUGUGCCCCACCCCCACCCCCACCCCUGCCGGGCCCCCUUAAGGACCACUUACAUUCUCCUAGAGUUGAGUCUGAAUGUUGUGGGAGUAAUUACAGUGAACAUGGAGAAGUAGCUGUUUUUGGGCAACACUAGGGGAGUUGCUAGGUGUAUAGUAUGGCUUUUAAAAUGUCUAAUACCAUUAAAAUUUCUGUUCUGUGUUUGUUUUUAUGAGGAACUAAAAGAAGGAAAGGAAAUUACUUAAAAAUAUAAGGAAACCUUUAGUGCAUAUUUAAAGAAUCAUUGUAGGAUAUUUAAUGUGUCAUUCCAGCAUGUUGAUACUAAUGUGAAGAAAUUUGGAGUACCUUUCAUUUAUUCAAAUAUGAUUCAUAAUAGGCAUACAAGUUGGCAUUAGGACUACCAAAAUAGAUCAUAAUUUUUACUUGAAAUUGCUUCACUCAUUUCCUCUUUGGCUUCCCAUUAAAAAUAGUAGUUUUACCAAAAAAUGCCUGAAAAAAAAUAAAGUAAAAGGAUUGUCAACAAAUGGGUAGGUAGAAGGGAAUUAUGAGUUUUUCUAAUGCACUUAAAAUACAGUUCUGACAUAAACUAAGCUUUUAAAGCACGUCUGUGCCAGUUGGUAUUACUGAUACUAAUUUUGUGUGUUCAUUAAGGACUGCUUUUAAUGGAUUAUUAGAGAAUUAGGUAAUGUAAAUGGUAGUCUGGUUGAACAAGGUUGGCAUGUAUUCUACCUUGUUUUAGAAUGUAUUCUAUAUUGUGUUAGGAUAUUUGCUAUUCUGCCAUUUGAAUUUUGCUAAGGUAUAGUUUAACCCUGUCAUUUUUUAAAAAGAUUUAUUUAUUUUUAUUUGAAAGAGUUACACAGAAAAAGGAGAGGCAGAGAGAGAGAGGUCUUCCAUCUGAUGGUUCACUCCCCAAUUGGCUGCAACGGUCAGAACUGUGCCAAUCUGAAGCCAGGAGCCAGGAGCUUCUUCUGGGUCUCCCACACUGGUGCAGGGUCCUAAGGACUUGGGCCAUCUUCCACUGCUUUCCCAGGCCACAGCAGAGAGCUGGAUUGGAAGAGGAGCAGCCGGGACUAGAACCGGCGCCCAUAUGGGAUGCUGGUGCUUCAGGCCAGGGCAUUAACUCACUGAGCCACAGUGCUGGCCCCUAACCCUGUCAUUUUUAAACAGACGAGGUUUCACUUAGCUGCUGCUUCUCUGCCCCUUCGGCAUCUUUACCACAGUAGCAGAAUUUUUUAAAAGUAACCAUCAUUUAUUGUAACUCAUGUAUCUGUAGGCCAGCAGGGCUUGGCUGAUCUAGGCUUAGCUCCACAGGGUAACUCCCCUCCCUACAGAUGUGGGGACAGUGAGAGUGAUUGCUUCAUUUUUCUUAAAUGCAUGCAUUAGAUUGGGCUUAUACAUCAUCAUUUUUAUUUUUAAUGACUUUUUCUAUUCGUUUGAAAGGCUGAGAUAGAGAGGGAGAGACAGAGGCCUUCCAUCCACAGGUUCUCUCCCCCGAAUGGCCGUAAUGACUGGACCUGGACCAGACCAAAGGCAGGGCUGGGAGCUUCCUCUAAAUCUCCCACAUGGGUGCAAGGCCAUCCUCUGCUGCCUUCCCAGGCUCACCAGCAGGGAGCUGGAUUGGCAGUGGAGCCGCCAGGACCUAAACUGGCACCUUUUUACAUGAGAUGCUGGUGCUGCAGGCGUAGCUUAACCUGCUGUGCCACAGCACUUAGCCCUGGUAGCAGAAAUUUUACCCAUUAAAAAGUCAUGAUAGUUUAGAGAAGGUAGGAGUGUGCAUCUGAGCCUGCUGUGGUUAUUCAGGUUAGCAUGUUUUCUGGAGAAAUUUUUCUUAAUAGCUAGUCCCAUAUGUAUUUUCCACAAGCAAAUGGGGAGUCUUCUCAGUUUAGACUCCAGACCUUCUAUUGUGUAUAAUGCAUCACAUAACCAUCAGACUUCUUAGCUUAUGGCUUAUGGAGCUUGGUUAUAUUUCCCUUCUGGUGGUUGUGGUAGUGGUGUGUUAGAAGCAAUUUUACCUUUAAACUGAAUUGGAAGAAAAGGUGCAUUGUAUUCCCAUAAGCAAUGCUUUGAGCCCUACUAACUGUGGUUGCAACUAGCAGUAAUUAGAAUUUCCCAUUUUGUCUUUAAUUGUGCCACUUUUGCCUCUGUUAAACUCACGCUAAUGAUAUAUUCAUUUAUGCAUCCAUUUAGAUAUUUAUUGGAUGUUAACUGCAUGCUUGGGCAGAAUGGAAUAUAUAGAAGAAGAGCAUCAAUUUCUGCUCCACAGAUACUAUCACAUUCAGGAGAUGUACAUGAAGAAAACAAUUAGAAAUACUGAGAAGGGUUGGACCACUGGAGAUAUAAAGAAGAACCUUUUGGCCUUAGUCAUCAGCAGUGGAAAAGUAUUCACAUUUAUUAUGUUGAAGAUGUUUAAAGUAGCUUUGAUGUAGCAGAUUGUCCAAAUUUGGCCAACAGGAGCCCUUUGAAGCCGACUCAUGUUUAUGAGUGUGUCCGUGACCAUUUCUUAGGCUUGCAAGCUAUCCUGGACUCACCUUAUACUUUCCUUGCUCCAAACCUAGAAUCAGCCAUUUCUCUAACGAGUUGUGCUUUAUUUGCUUGGGGGGAUGAUACUCGGAGAUCUAAGAUCUGGGCAGCUUCCUGCUACUGGAGUGUCAUUGCUUCUAGGCCCUUUCAGUGGAGGGAGGUAUGUGUUUCUUUCUGGCUAUUUAUUUUAUACGUAGUUAUGUUAAUGUGUUUCUUUUUAUAUCAACUUUAGGUAGGCAUUUUCCCCUCAUCCUUGUUGAUUUAUUUUUGAGUCUGUAAAUUAACAUUGUUCAAAAAUCAAAUUUAUUAAAAGGAUUAUCUUCUUCCCUGUGUGUUACAACACAUUAUCUGUGUGAAAGCUGCAGCUCAAGUUUAUCCUUUCUAGUUUUCUUGCUGUGAUAGCCACAUAUACCUGCAUCCUUGUUUACUCUUCUUUCUUGCACGGCAGCCAACACAGUGUAUGCACUGAAGAUUGUCCUUUGAACCUUGAUAGAAUCUGCAUAUUGCUGCAGAGAUACUCCUCAUUUCUAUCUUUCUUCUUAUUUUUUUUUUUAAAGAUUUAUUUGAAAGGCAGAAUUACAGGGAGAGACAGAGAUCUUCCCAUCUGUUGGUUCACUCCUCAAAUGGCCACAGCGGCUGGAGCUGGGCCCGUCCAAAGCCAGGAGCUUCCUCUGGGUCACCUAUGUAGGUGCAGGGGCCCAGCACUUGGGCUGCCAUCCACUGCUUUUCUAGGUGUAUUAGCAGGGAGCUAGAUUGGAAGUGGUAUAGCUGGGCCUCAAACCAGUGUCUGUAUGGAAUGCUGGUGCCUCAGGCAGUGACCACCCACUGUGCCACAGUGCUGACCCCCUCAUUUCUUCUUCAUGGCUGCACAGUACUCCAUUGUGUAGGUGAUGCUUCUUGGGUCAUUCUCCAGAUCUCUCGUAUGUGGUCACUUAAAUGAUUUCCUAUAUUGUGCUAUUUCAAAUAAUGCCACAGUAAGUGUGUGUGUGGGUGUGGGUGUGGGUGUGGGUGUUGCUGAGAACAUAGCUUCAGGAGAGUUUCUUGUACUUGAUCAGAAGAGAAAUGUAUAGCUUGGUGAGAUACUGCCAAAUCACUCUUCCAUAAAGAAAACUGUACCAUAUCAGCAGUGUUGAAAUUACCUGUUUGCCCACCACUUAAGAUGUGUUCUUAAGCGUUUUAGUCUUUGUGGACUUGGGAUGAGAAACUGUCAUUGGUGAGAUGGAGUAGAGCCUAGGGAGGGAGAACAGCCUAUUUGUAUGAGCACUUCCUGGCUUUCUAGUUGAACACAGUAAACUAAACAGAGAUUUCUCUCUCCUUUCUCCUAUAGCCAUUAAAACAGGAAUAAAGAAAUACAAAGAAAGGGGUGUUAGGCAUAGUGGUUAAGACGCUACUUGGGAUGGCUGCAUCCUUUAUCAAAGUGCUUGGCUUUGAGUCCAGCUCUGAGCCCUUUUAUACCUUCCUGCUGAGGCACACUCUUGGAGGCAAUGGGUGAUGGCUCCAACUAGUUGGCUUCUGCAGAUCCUGACUGAGUUCCUGGCUCUUGGCUUCCACUGGCUCAGCCUCAGCUAUUGUGAACACUUGGGGGAAUGAAAGGGGUAGGAGUAGACUGGAUUGAUCUCUCUCUCUCCCUCUCUACCUUUCAAAUAAAACAUUUUUUAAAAAAGAAAAUAUAAAGAAAUUGAAGGGUUCUUUUAUUCAAACACUACAGUUUUAAAUUAUGGAUCGUUUGCAUAUUACUUGGGGAAAAUGUCUCUUUUAGAACUUUUGCCCAUUUUUUUCCUAGUAGUAUUUGGUUUUAUUUUCCUCAAUUGUAAGAAUACUUUAUAAAUGAUGUUA